CCCCCCCCCCCAAACAAUGUCACCAGACACUCAUCAAGCUAGUUUGCGUCUGUCGCUGACGUGUCCAAGGAGAAACUGAUGCUGAUCCAAGCCCGGGAGGACCUGCUGCUCAGAGGGGUGGACGUUUGACCACAAGGCUAACACGUGCCACACCACCUGUCCAGUCCUGUCCAGUAAGUGAAGGUGGAGCAGUUCCACAGCAUGUUUGCAGGGGAGUUUUUCUACAUCGGCAUGGCCAGCAACGUCCACCUCUCUGCACAUUCGUCCCCCUGUGAAGGUUCAUAAAGUGCAGCAGUAUCGAACAGAAAGCUCAUUCACUGGAUGCCCUCCUGGAAAGCAUGCCGGAAUGUUGAGGAACAUAACCACUUGCACGAAGGGCACGUUCACUCGAGAGCAGCUUCAGGACAACUUCUCUUACGUCAUCCUCAAAAGUAUGUGUUCUUAGUGGAGGAGGUUCUGUUCCGGCCUAGCUCUGCCUCCAGUGACCUGCAUAUCUCCUACUACAGUAUUACAGACUACUUCUGCCCCCUGCUGGUCUACCACGAUACCCCCAGGAGACCCUCCAUGGAGCUCUACUAUACGCUGACCACUACAUUCAGUGUGCACGGGGCAUUCCUUCCUCGCCCUCUGCCAUCUGGUGUGGCACUGGGCAUCUUCCCGGGCCAUCUUUGUGGUCCUGCUGCUCAUCGGCUUUCUCCUCAGCCAGCGCGCUCACCAUAAAAAAAUAGGAUGGACACACACUUUACACACAAAGCGCAACACAUUCAGAUGUUUUUUUUGUCAAAACACACGCACUCCCAAUACAUCCCAAAACAGGAGAAAAAACGCAUGUCCUCUGAGCAGCGUGAAAUAAAUGUGAUGAGCUGUUCAGCAUGAACUCUGUCAGUAACUGAUCCCUGCCUUUUUGUCUUGUCUGUGAUUCAUUUAGAAACUGUUUUCAGUUUUAGGAACACAGUUAGUUGAUCUGAAAUCUGUUGAUGAUUGGAAAUGAUACAUUUGCAUAAAGCUUUUUUUAAAUGCUGUCCUUGUAUGUUUUGCUUGAUGAAAAUGUUUUGGAGGAAUAAAGAGUUUAUAGCAAUCGUUUCUUCAUAACGGCAGUUUUUGUUUCACACUUCAAUCAGAUGGAAGCUCUGUUGACGCAAGACACGGUAAACAUAUGGAUAGUUAUUCAUUGUAAAGUUUUUAUGUACACAUACUUCAUUGCGCAUCAGUCACCUUUAACACGGUGCUGGCAUAAGUCAACAGUCUUUAAUGUCACCCGUUGUGUUGACACAAUCCUAUGGCUUGUUUCACAAGG